AGCAAUCCUUAAAACGAUUUUAUAAAGGUAUGAUAAGUCACCUAAAAUAUAUGAUUCCCCGUCAUAACUCUGGCAAAUAAGGAGCAAAUGCCACCAAAAUCACAGGAUUUAUUGUUGAUCAUGAGAGGAAUAAACAGAGAAAAAAACUUGCUGGUAAUUUGAGUUGUUCCCAUAUUAUGGAGGGGGAACAGAUUAUUUCAGGCUGCUGAAUUAUCCAUUCUUUCCUCUCCUUACCCCAUAACCUUGGGGAAUAAAGAACAACUGUUUCCAAAUUCUCAAAAAUCUUUACAUACACGCUACGUGUUGGGAAAACUGUGUUUGGUGCCUGACUUUUAUUUCUGUCAGGCUUACGUGAGAGAAGUUGGAAAAAGAGCGAUUCUCUUGGUGUUUAAAAUGACACAAAACAGCAAGACCUCGUUCAUUUAUUUAUUUUACAAUUUUUUAAACAACAGCUGGCAAUUAAACUGAAUGUUACAACCUUGACAUGAUUAUAUGAGUUUUACCGAGAAAUUGAUCAGAAGUGACGUGAAAAUGGUCACAUCCGCCUCUGGCUGUAAUGCGCGCUCCCGACAGCGGAACCGAAUUUUAUAGGGAAACCGAAUUUCGGACAACAGCUCUAUGCACCUUAAAGUUGCUUGCGAUCCGCCAUAAUAGAAAAGAAGAAAGAACAAAUCAAUCUGACUUAAAGUCAAGUUCUACGUCAUGAUGAUCGCUGCCUUGAUUAUCUCGGUUCCUUUCCUUACAUCUGGAUCUGCAUCAACAGAAACAGCAGCAACAUUUGUAGUGAAUGUGACACAGAGCAGCUAUCAGGCAGAGGAGAAGCAGAGCAUCACUCUGGAGUGGACCUUCACCACCAAGACUCAGGGAACCUGGAAGAAUCUGUUCAUCGUCUGCAGCUUGUUGACUCCUGAUAAACCGCGAGUUCUCUAUCAUAUUCAUGAAGGAGUUGAGAUUCCAGAGUCUCAGGAUGAUCAGUUUUCAGGACGAGUCCAGAGCGACAAAGACGUCCUCAGAAAGGACGAAUCAGACUCCAUGUAUCCAGACUGAGGACUGAAGACUCUGGUCUGUAUCUGUGUGACGUGAAAACUGAAGAUGGAUUCAACUCUGGAGGAUGUCAACUCAACGUUACUGUUCCAGUGAAGGUUGUUGGUCAUGAUCCGAUUCAUGCAAAGGUUGGAGACGACGUCAUUCUGCCAUGUCAUCUGGAGCCUCCAUUUGAUUUGACCACAUUUACAAUCGAAUGGAGAUUCAAGGAUGAAAUAAUCCAUGUGCAUCGCAGCCAAACUAAAGAUGAUGUAGCUUCAGAUCCAAAGUACCAUGACCGAACCUUCAUGUUCCCUGAUGAGUUUGAAAAAGGCAACAUUUCCCUCAAAUUGACCAAAGUAACCAAGGAGGAUGAAGGGAAUUAUACUUGCUUUGUUCCCAAACUGCAAAGACAAGUCAAGCAGGGAAACGUUACUCUAAUACUUGGACCUCCUAGAGUUUAUUGUUGGUGUUGUUGUUGCACUCAUCUUCUUCUUCACCGUCAUCAUCAUCGUCGUCAUCAUAAUCAAGCGAUCUCAAAUCCAACGUGUUCUACGUCACUACAGAGGUGAACAAAUUUUUCCAUGUUGGAGCAAAAACUCUCAACAUGAACCAGAGAGAAAUGAUGAAGAUCGCAGAGAAAAUGUCAACCCAGGAAAUGAAGAAGAAGGAAAACCUUUACAGGAUCAAGGAAAACAAAACCAAAGUGAAUCUUUCACCUGAUCUAAAGUCUAUUCAAAGUUUGUUGAAAAGGAGACCAGAACCAGAGAGACGAGGAAGGACCAUCAUCAUCAUCAUCAUCAUCACUAUAACCACACACACACAUACACAUACAUAAACUCAUCUACUGUACCACCUUUCAUCCCAUAUUCAUCGAUGCUUGUCAGUCUACAAUAAACCUUCGAAGCUGCAUCUGCGGAGUUGCCUAUUCCUUCUAACAGAGGAAGAUUCAAUUGAUGAGAGAUCUGAAUUAGUGCCUGUCUGACGCACACAGAGUUCUUACAGUGGGACUGAUAGUUAUUUAGUUUAGGAAGAAAAUGAGAAGAAGAAACCAAACAUUUUGACCAAGAACAUUUUUGUUUGAACUUUUUCUGUUUGACAUAUUUUAAUAAUGACUUUGAGUCGUUUAUUGCUUUGCUUCAGAUUCAUGUUCUCAAUACCUUUCUACAGACACAUCAUAAUGGGGUUUUAUGUCUUAUAAUAAGACUUACUUUAAGUUUUUAUAUGCAGCUGUUUCUUCUCCAGUGUUGGAAACUACUUUGCUAUCAAUCUUAAAGCAUUAAGUUGACGAUCUAGGCAAUCUUUAGGGGUUUUGAAAUACUGAUACAUUUCAGUAUUUGAAAUGUAUCAAAUACUGAAAUAUUUGAUACAGAAACAAUGAUCUGUUAUUCUGUUACUCAGAUGGAUUUAUUCUGUUUCACUUCAUGUGUUUAGAGAAACCAGUGGUGACAACAGUGUUAGGAGUUUGUUCUGAAAUUAGCAUGUUGCUGGUUCAAAUCUGCUUCUUUCUUAGUGCCUUUGAGCAAGGCACUUCACCUGCCUUACCUGCCAGUGGCAUCGACCCACAGCAGCUGCUGCCAAAUUGCUCCAGGGCAGCUGAGGCUGUUAUCCAGUAUUGGUCACCAUCAGUGUAUGAAUGGAUGAGUAUGAAUGGAUGAAUGACUGAAUGCAGAGUGAAGCAUUUUGGAUUCAACUGGACUUGAAACAGAGCCUUAAAAGUACAAGCCAUAUUUAAUGUUUUAUGGAAAUAGUAAAUUAGAGCUCUAAUUUAUUAUUUAAACAUUCUUGUUAUCAGUGUUGUAUAGAAACAAAGUAACUUUCAUAUGAAAAUUUUUGAUAACUUUCACUUUUACUUCACUACAUUUCAGAACUUAAUUGCUCCGCUUCAUUUUCAAUGUGUGGUUUAGUUACUCGUUACAAAAAAGUGAGAGAGAGAAACGCAAAUGUUUAGACCCAACCUACUGAUCGACUGCAACAAAGUCGGUAGCCGAUUUGCCUGAGUUUGUUCAUCUCCACCAAUAGAUGCACAUGUUUCACUUCUCCCAUUAAACACCAAGUUUACUAAAAGCUCUCCCUCUUCAGAUGCCAAAUAAGCUGCAUUUCCCUCCCAAUUCCUUUUUUCUUUUGUAUAAUGACCAGUUGAUGCACCUAUAGUUUGUGAAGUAGAGGAAUCGUAACGGGUUUUUUUUCUUCAUGUUGGCCGCAUUUUCUGUGCUAUUUAUUUUUCUCAUUUUCAGCACUGAUCUUACUGAAAGGAAAACUUAAGGCUUACAAAACCUUGUAUUUUCUGUCCUUCUUGUACUAAGAAGCAGGUUCAUAGUGAUGAGUCUGACUGAAACCUCCGCGCAUGCGUCGAGCAAACAAGGCGAAACCCCGUGUGGGUGCGCGUAUCUCUUUAAGGAAAACCACGUGACCGAUACAAUUCCUGUGUCGUUUGGUUGUGAAGGCGCCAAAUUGUAUUUAUGAACAGAAAAUGUAUCGACAUGUUGGUGGGUUUUGUUGGAUGGAGAUAGUUUGUGUUGUUUGGCUUGUCAAUGAAAACUAUGAUCAAUCGAGGAAGAGAAAGUUUUCUCCCGUUUGAUCAUUUUGAUCUUAUCACGGAGAAUAAGAUCAAUUAUUAUUCCGUUCUCGUUUCCACUAUUGAUCAUUCUUCUGUCGGGUUAUUCCAAUUUCUUUCUGAAGAAUACUUUAAUUAGUUUACAUGGAUUAACUUUUAUUUCUAUUGUGGAUUAAAUGUAUACAACAACGUGAUUGUACAACAUCACGUUGUUGUAUAAAAUUCCACUAAAUAUCGUCCUAAAAAAAUCAUUUUUUAAUACCAAAAAGGUUCAAAUUGUCCAUUCUUGAACCUCUUACUAUAUUACGCUUUACUGCAACUAUAUUUACUUUUUUAAACCGGUUUGAGGUCAAGAAGGAAAAUCCAUACAGCCAAUAUGGACCAGCAAAAGCAAGAGAAAAUUCCCUAAAGCUUUUGGGCAAAAUGAAAAUGCUUUAAAGUGAAUAAUCGCAUUAUAUUCAAGUUUCAUAAAAAGGACCAGAAACUAUUAAUGUGUCGCUUCUCCGAUGAAGGAAUAUUGUCUGAUUUGAUGAAUUUAUGUAUGAUCUAAUUGCACUUUUAAUUUUUAAAGAUAGAAAUACGUCAGAAGGAAGAAACUGCAGCAUUCAUCUCGGCUGAUUUGUAAACAGUUAAAAAAAUAAUAAAAAAUACAACUCAGUUUUUUCUUUUUGUUUUGUUUUCUUGGCGAUUGGCCCAAAGAUGUUAACGCAGCUGAUGUUUCUAAAUAAAAAUGUGUGAAUGAACCUUG